CAGAAUUCACGAAUCAUCAGCCUCGAGGACAAGGCUGAUUUGAAGAGGGCGGGUCUGUUAGGACUCUAGCUUUGAGAGUCCUAAUUUAGAGGGACAUUCAUGUAAAACUAUUAGGACUCUAGCUAGGAGAGUCCUAAUUGAGAGGGACAUUCUGUUAGGACUCUAGCUAGGAGAGUCCUAAUUGAGAGGGGCAUUCAUGUAGGAGGUUUUUUCUUAUAGAAGAAUUAGGAGUUGUAAGGGAAUAGGAGUCUUGAGUAGGAGUCCUAUUAGG
rnacentral:lncRNA from 1 species